CAGGUCACUGGGUGUCGGUCCACAUGAACCCAAGGGGUAAAAGGGACGAUAUGCAAAGGGUCUCAGACGUGGGAACCAGAUUGGAUGCUUGAGACCUUGUCGGGGACCGGCAAACCCAAAGUUUCCAAGAUGGCAGCAGAUUCAGCAGGAGAGGUGAGCCUGUGUGUUGAGCCGUUGUGGGUCACCACCAUGACCUGGGAGCCAUCCACCUGUAAAUCACUCCAGCCGACCUUAGUUGGCGUGUGAUCAGAGCGAGGGAUCUGCCCCAUUGAAGUGUGAAUUGAGUGAGUGGCCUCGUACCAGUCCACAAUUUAGGGAUUACCCAGUUGUGGGCAAGGUGUUUUUUUUUUUUAUUCUUUAUUUUUUUUUGUGCAAAGAAAUGAUACAGUUGAGUGCAACACCACAACAGUUGUUGCUCGCAUGGAUAUCAAUCAGGAAGUACAGUAGUGGCAUCACGGAACAUUGCACAUUUUUAUAAAUAACAUUAGGUAUAACAGUAGUGGGAAGCAAUUAUUGUGCCCCGUGUGGAUAUGAGUAAAGUACCCCCUACUAUUGUUCUAGAGCAGGGAUAGGCAACCUUCGGCACUCCAGAUGUAAUGGACUACAUUCCCCAUAAUACUCU